GACAGAGGGUGCAAACGUUGUUCGGAAUUACUGGGCGUAAAGCGAGUGUAGGCGGUUCUCAAAGUCGGAUGUGAAAGCCCCGGGCUCAACCCGGGAAGUGCACCCGAUACUGGAGAGCUAGAGUGUCGGAGAGGUUGGUGGAAUUCUCGGUGUAGAGGUGAAAUUCGUAGAUAUCGAGAGGAACACCGGUGGCGAAGGCGGCCAACUGGACGAACACUGACGC
rnacentral:rRNA from 1 species